rnacentral:rRNA from 1 species
AAACAACAGGGAUUGCUCAGUAACGGCGAGUGAAGCGGCAACAGCUCAAAUUUGAAAUCUUGGCCCUAGGCCCGAGUUGUAAUUUGCAGAGGAUGUUUCUGGCGAGGUGCCUUCCGAGUUCCCUGGAACGGGACGCCAUAGAGGGUGAGAGCCCCGUACGGUUGGUCGCUAAGCCUCUGUGAAACUCCUUCGACGAGUCGAGUAGUUUGGGAAUGCUGCUCUAAAUGGGAGGUAUACGUCUUCUAAAGCUAAAUACCGGCCAGAGACCGAUAGCGCACAAGUAGAGUGAUCGAAAGAUGAAAAGCACUUUGAAAAGAGGGUUAAAUAGUACGUGAAAUUGUUGAAAGGGAAGCGCUUAUGACCAGACUUGGACCGGUUGAUCAUCCAUCGUUCUCGGUGGUGCACUCUGCCGGUUCAGGCCAGCAUCAGUUUGUACCGGGGGAUAAAGGCUUUGGGAAUGUGGCUCCUCCGGGAGUGUUAUAGCCCACUGUGUAAUACCCUGGGAUAGACUGAGGUUCGCGCUCCGCAAGGAUGCUGGCGUAAUGGUCAUCAGUGACCCGUCUUGAAACACGGACCAAGGAGUCGUCUUCGUAUGCGAGUGUUCGGGUGUCAAACCCCUACGCGUAAUGAAAGUGAACGUAGGAGAGAGCUUCGGCGCAUCUCCGACCGAUCCUGAUGUUCUCGGAUGGAUUUGAGUAAGAGCAUACGGGGCCGGACCCGAAAGAAGGUGAACUAUGCUUGUAUAGGGUGAAGCCAGAGGAAACUCUGGUGGAGGCUCGCAGCGGUUCUGACGUGCAAAUCGAUCGUCAAAUAUGAGCAUGGGGGCGAAAG